UGCUUCUGGCAUGAAAACAGAGCUAGGGUUCUCAACUCUGGGCUGCAAAGCAAAAUCAGGUAGCAGCUUUUAAAAAAUACAGGUGCCUGACUUGUCCUAAGAUGCUGAUUCAGGAGAUCUGGGGUAGGGCCCAAGUAACUAUUUGGAAAAAGCUUUCCAAGUGACUCUAAUGCAACAGGGGCAGAGACUGUCACAAAAGGUACUGAUAUAAAUAAUACAUGAUGGAAGGGGAAGUCUGUACUUCUUCAACAAGGACAGGAGGCAUUGUGUCAAGGACUACUCAAAGUGCAAAGAUGAUUUCACAUCUUUUUUUUUUUUUUUUUUUUUUUUGAGACAGGGUCUCGCUCUGUCACCCAGGCUAGAGUACAGUGGUGCAAUCUUGGUUUACUGCAACAUCUACCUCCCUGGCUCACACGAUUCUCCCACCUCAGUCUCCCGAAUAGCUGGGAUUACAGGCAUGUGCCACCACACCUGGAUAAUUUUUGUAUUUUAGCAGAGAUGGGGUUUCACCACAUUGGCCAGGCUGGCCUCGAACUCCUGACCUCAGAUGAUCUGCCCACCUCGGCCUCCCAAAGUGCUGGGAUUACAGGCAUGAGCCAUUGUGCCCAGCCCGUUUCACAUCUUUCUGGAAUGUCAAUUUUACUUGACAGAUACACUCUGAGACUUGAAAGAAGUCACCCUCUGAGAUGGGUCCCUGAUAUGGUUUGGUUAUGUCCCCACUCAAAUCUCAUCUUGAAUUAUAGCUCCCAUAAUCCCUACAUAUCAUGAGCGGUACCUGGUGGGAGGUAACUGAAUCAUUGGGGAGGGUUUUUCCCAUGCUGUUCUUGUGAUAGCAAAUAAGUCUCAAGCUGUGAUGGUUUUAUAAAUGGGAGUUUCCCUGCACACACUCUCUUGCCUGUCGCCAUGUAAGACGUGCCUUUGCUCCUCCUUCAUCUUCCACCAUGAUUGUGACGUCUCUCCAGCCAUGUGGAACUGUGAAUCUAUUAAACCUCUUUUUCUUUAUAAA
rnacentral:lncRNA from 1 species